rnacentral:rRNA from 1 species
AUAGCGUAUAUUAAAGUUGUUGUGGUUAAAAAGCUCGUAGUUGAACCUCGGGCCUGGCUGGCCGGUCCGCCUCACCGCGUGUCACUGGUCCGGCCGGGCCUUUCCUCCUGUGGAACCCCGGGCCCUUCACUGGGCACGGCGGGAAAACAGGACAUUUACUUUGAAAAAAUUAGAGUGCUCCAGGCAGGCCUACGCUCGAAUACAUUAGCAUGGAAUAAUAAAAUAGGACGCGCCGUUCUAUUUUGUUGGUUUACGGACGGCCGUAAUGAUUAAUAGGGACAGUCGGGGGCAUCAGUAUUCAGUGGUCAGAGGUGAAAUUCUUGGAUCCACUGAAGACUAACUACUG